UUCCUGAAUGCUUUCUUCUUCACUUUCAUCACAGUCCUCUCACCAUCUGCCUUGUUUUGUUUUGUUUUGUUUUUACAUGUAUGUUUUAAGAUUCUGCUCAGUCUUUUUGGUAAAUGUGAUUUGGGACUGACAUGGCAUCACAAAGCCAAACUAAAAUCAAAAGUCUAACGUGGAACCCUCAAUGACAUGCUACUUUCUAAAAACCACUUCUUUUGAUAAAGACACCAUCCAUACUUUGAGCCUUAAUGUGUGUAACACUGUAGACCCCAGAGUUUGUUUUUGUUCUGUAGAAUCAAAGGGUAUCUAUAUUUAACA